rnacentral:rRNA from 1 species
UCUGUAGGUGGUUUAAUAAGUCAACUGUUAAAUCUUGAGGCUCAACCUCAAAAUCGCAGUCGAAACUACUAGACUAGAGUAUAGUAGGGGUAAAGGGAAUUUCCAGUGGAGCGGUGAAAUGCGUAGAUAUUGGAAGGAACACCGAUGGCGAAGGCACUUUACUGGGCUAUUACUAACACUCAGAGACGAAAGCUAGGGUAGCAAAUG